UAGGGAAUCUUCGGCAAUGGACGAAAGUCUGACCGAGCAACGCAGCGUGAGUGAAAAAGGUUUUCGGAUCGUAAAACUCUGUUGUUAGAGAAGAACAAGGACGUUAGUAACUGAACGUCCCCUGACGGUAUCUAACCAGAAAGCCACGGCUAACUACGUGCCAGCAGCCGCGGUAAUACGUAGGUGGCAAGCGUUGUCCGGAUUUAUUGGGCGUAAAGCGAGCGCAGGCGGUUUCUUAAGUCUGAUGUGAAAGCCCCCGGCUCAACCGGGGAGGGUCAUUGGAAACUGUGAGACUUGAGUGCAGAAGAGGAGAGUGGAAUUCCAUGUGUAGCGGUGAAAUGCGUAGAUAUAUGUAGGAACACCAGUGGCGAAGGCGGCUCUCUGGUCUGUAACUGACGCUGAGGCUCGAAAGCGGAGGGAGCAAACAGG
rnacentral:rRNA from 1 species